GGAUUAGAUACCCUGGUAGUCCACGCCGUAAACGAUGGUCACUAGAUGUGGCGGGUGUCGACUCCCGCCGUGUCGUAGCUAACGCGUUAAGUGACCCGCCUGGGGAGUACGGCCGCAAGGCUAAAACUCAAAGGAAUUGACGGGGACCCGCACAAGCAGCGGAGCAUGUGGAUUAAUUCGACGCAACGCGAAGAACCUUACCUGGGCUUGACAUACUGCUGACCUCCAUGGAAACAUGGACUUCCUUCGGGACAGCAAUACAGGUGGUGCAUGGCUGUCGUCAGCUCGUGCCG
rnacentral:rRNA from 1 species